rnacentral:rRNA from 1 species
UACGUAGGAUGCAAGCGUUGUCCGGAAUUAUUGGGCGUAAAGAGCGCGCAGGCGGUCUAUCAAGUCAGAUGUGAAAUAUCCCGGCUUAACCGGGAGGGGUCAUUUGAAAUUGGUAGACUAGAGUACAGCGGAGGAUAGUGGAAUUCCCGGUGUAGUGGUGAAAUGCGUAGAUAUCGGGAGGAACACCAGUGGCGAAGGCGACUAUCUGGGCUGAAACUGACGCUGAGGCGCGAAGGCUAGGGGAGCAAACAGG